UUCCUAUGAUGAAGGAGAAUUUAUUGUCAUCUGAUAAAUUAUGAUUACAAUCAAAUCUACUGCCUUCCUUCUGAGGUU